CUGGUAAAUAGUUGCUUCGGAAAGUGAGAGAGAAGAUCUAGGAAACCCUAGAAGCAAAUAAAUGCCAUUUCGAUUGAAGAAAUCACUGAAUCGGAGACGGAAGGAUGGAAUUGAAACUUUGAACUAGAUUAGUGGGGUAAAAAAUGGUCGCAAUUAAGAUUAUUGACAAGGAAUGAAUUAGGGAUUGGAUUACGAGACGGGAAAUGGGGUGGGUUCCUGAGCUAUUUGAGUCUCUGAUGGAGAGAGAGUACAAAAGCUCAGGCGAGGAAGUGACGACUUACAAAGACGAGAACGGUGAGAAUCGGGAGAGUCUUGGGUUUAAUACAGCGCGCUGUAGUAAACUAGCAAAAGUGGACCUGUUUCCUUCCGUAUUUACGGAAUUGCCUGCAUUUGGCAGGUUCAUUGUAGCGUUUGCAAUUUUUUUUUUUUUUUUUUUCAAUCUCUAUAUUACGAAUUAUUCCAUUUGAGGCUAAAGUAUUUUAUUAUAGUUUAAAGAUUUUUAGUAACUAUUAAUAUCAAACUUGCAACGACGACGCAGCUUCCUACUUAAUCCAGCG
rnacentral:misc_RNA from 1 species